UGAGAGAUGAACACUCAACAGGACGACUUGC
rnacentral:piRNA from 1 species